ensembl:lncRNA
UUUGGUCAGGCAACACCAAACAUGUAUGGUUGUGCUCCCUUCAUCCUCCCUGUUGCCUUUUCCACUGCUCAGUCCAAGCUGCCCACACGGACACUGUGCAGGCAGUGGCACAGCACAAGCUGGGACAUCAUUUAGUUUAACCCUAACAUGCCCAUAACUGGAAGUGCAAAAUGAAUUGAACAAAAUUAAUUUCAAAGUGUGAUUUCUUUUUCUCUCAAGUUGAUGAUGCUGUACAAGGUAACCUACCCUCAUCAUCCGUGGAGGUUGGCACGAGGUCUGGGAUAUCUCAGCGCAGGGUUGGGGUUCUCUUGGGUCCUCCACACUGGAGAUCAGGAAUCUCCAUUCCAUUAACUCCGGAUUAAGGCACAGCACAGAUGAGGAGAACAGGAGGCUCACAAUGGUAGGCAGCACGAAAACAGAGGCACAGUAAAGAAGCACAGUCAGCGUGCAAUGCGAGCAGAGGAUUUUGGCCCCCUCAAGGUGAUCCUGAUGGGAGGAACAGUCAGUCCUGAGUGUGACAGAAGCACGUGGCCAAGAGGGCCUGUGUGAAUUUGGUAGCAGAGAUAAGACGGAACCAAACCCCAGCGAGUAUCGCUCCCUGUGAUUGAUGAGCUGCUCUGCUUCAAGCUGGGGAACGUGCGCUGGGCUUGGAAAAAUACAGGGCCCUCUCAGCCACCUGAUAGCAAACAGCCACACAGAGACAGCUAAAGGAAGGCUGGUAAACAAGAAAAUGACUGUAAUCCCAUUACACAGCCACAGAAAGCUGGGUUCUGUCCCUCGAGGGGAGAGCUGAGCAGGGUCCAUUCAGAGCCACUGUGGCAGCAGCUCCAGAAAGCUGAGAUGGGGCAGUUAAACUGCAGGGGAUUUUGGAUGCCAGGAGCCUACCUGGGUAAGUGUGAGCAGAUAAGUGUGAGCAGGUAAGGUGGCAAAGCAGGACAGCUGUCAGUGAUUUGGCUGCACACUGCUGUCAGCUUCUGCACUGCUCCACCUGGCUUUAAUGCUGAUGCAAGCAUGGAGCAGAACGAUGCUUGUUUUAGCAUGAGUCCUCAGCGUUCAUCAGCGCACAACCAAGACACUGGCACGUCUUUGUGCCUCCACACUGGACCAGCAACUGGUGGGCACCAACCAGACCAACCAACACUUGACACAGAAAAUACCCUGUGUUUUCCUCAGUCUGAUGGCACAGGUUGAAAGCCACACCUCAGCAGCACCAACACGGAGGGAGAGCUGUCUCCCAGAGCCUGGUGUCCCAGGGCAAUCAGCUGCAUCUGAUCCAAGAGUUUCCAGCAGCUGGGAUAUCCAUGAGGGCCUUUUCUGCAUGGGCAGUUUGGGAUAUAAUGAACAGCUGAGCUUGUGGGACUGCUCUUCCUACAGCAUGGAUAUCUGCAUCCACAGACAUUACUGGGACAUAAGGAAAAGACUGGAUAUGAAGGGACUUGAAGCAGUGGCAGAGGUUGCCCAGAGAGGUGGUGAUGCCCCAACCCUACAGAGAGCCAAGGUGAGACUGUUGGGGCUCCAAGCACUGAUGGAGCUCUGGGUAUCCCUGUGCACUGCAGGGAGUGGGACCAAACAGCCCUUAAGGGGCCCUUCCAACUCAAACGAUUCUGUGAUUUUAUAAUGACACAAAAAGUUUUCAGGCACACAGUAGGUGAAGGA